AAUCUCUCAGGAUGGCACCUGGAGAGUUUCUAGUACUCUACCAGUCUCAACUAUGGGAGGGAGAGUUAAGCAGAGGCAUCCAUUCCAUUCUUAGUUUGGGCAGUGGCUAGUGAGUGGAAGGCAAUCUGCUACAAGU